UUCCUCUAAGAACUCUUCCUCUUCGAGCAAAUACUCUCUUUAUAUAAACUUUCAUAUAUGUGUAUGCAUGAUAGUAUGUAUUUGUAUAUGUGCAUAUAUCUUUUUAAGAUUUUUUUUCCUUUCCAUUGAAGUUAAUACUUCAUUUUCACAAGCUUUCAUAUACAUACGUGCACACACACACACACACUAUAGUAUUGGUAUGACACUUUUUGAGGCAUUGUCUGGAAAGCCAUGCAGAUCGCCAGCUUGUUGGACCGAAUUGGGUGAUGGAAAGAUCGAGAACCCUUUAGUAUUGCAACAUUACACCGACCAAGUACAAUUGAUAAGGAAAAAGUUGUUGACUGCACAGAGUAGACUGAAAAACUAUGCCGACAUUCGACGUUGGCUUUUGAGGUGCAAGAUGAUUUAACAAUAAAAGAAAAGUCUAUUAGAAUUGUGGAUCAAAGAGAGCAAGUGCUUCGCACAGAGAGAAUUCCUUUAGUGAAAGUGGAAUGACAACACCAUGGGUUGAAGGAGAGCACAUGGGAACUUGAGGAGGAGAUGCGAAAGAAGUAUCCACACUUGUUCUUGCAUUGAGGUGGGCCAGAUCGGGUCUAGACCUGGACCCGAACCCACCCGCGUGUGAGCCCAACGCAAGGGAGUUCUUCUUCCUCGUCUCCCUCUUCGUUCCUUCCUCUGUGGCAUCGCAAGAAGAAACAAGAGGCGGGAGGAACAACCGACAGCAGAGGGUGUGGUUGCGACAACCACUAGGCCGGCAGAGGAAGGGCGGCAGCGGCGGUGGCGCUCCGUUUAGGGAUGCAUUUUUUUUCCUUAUACCAGUGAAGUGAAGACAUUAGUUGUGAUGGUGGCGAGGAAUCCUUGGUGUUAACGCUCAAUCGACCAUUGGAGGUGGCUGUCGGGAGCAUUGCGGCAGUUUGGACACUAAAUUUGGGGUGAGCGAGGCUUAAUGGAACUUAAAUUGUUGAAUAUUUAUUGUUGGAGCAUGUAUAAUUAUUGUUUGAGCAUGCUAAAAUGUAGAAUUGAUGAUUUAGGAUGCAUAUUAGCGACUUUGUUUUUUGGGGAAAAUUUAGGAUUAUGUUGGAGAAGCGUCGAUUCAUGUCUAUCAUGAUCUUUCAAGCUUAAGUGGUAAAUGUUUAGAAUCGUUUUAGUGAGCUUGAGAGAUAUGUUGCUAUUGAUGUACAUAUAUGUUGUAUGUUGAGAAUCUUAUAGUGGGGAAGACG